GUGCUUGCUUUGGCAGCAUGUAUACUAAAUUGAAACAAUACAGUGAAGAUUAGCAUGGUCCCAACGCAAGGAUGACAUGCAGAUUUGUGAAGUGUUCCAUAUUUUU
ensembl:snRNA U6 U6 spliceosomal RNA